rnacentral:snRNA from 1 species
GUGCUUGCUUUGGCAGCACAUAUACUAAAAUUGGAACGAUACAGAGAAGAUUAGCAUGGCCCCUGCACAAGGAUGACACACAAAUUCGUGAAACUUUCCAUUAAAAA